rnacentral:rRNA from 1 species
AUGGCCCUGCUUCCUUCGGGCUCAGGCAGCACGCCGGUGAUCGCCGAGGUGGAGAUGAACGGCGGCGCCGACCAGAGCGCCACCACCGUACGAGCCACCGUCGUGCAGGCAUCCACAGUCUUCUACGACACCCCCGCCACUCUCGAUAAAGCAGAGAGACUGAUAGCAGAGGCUGCUGGAUAUGGUUCACAGUUGGUCGUGUUCCCAGAAGCUUUUGUUGGUGGUUAUCCUCGUGGAUCCACCUUUGGCUUUGGGAUCAAUAUUAGUAUGACUAAUCCAAAAGACAAGGGAAAGGGUGAAUUCCAGAAGUAUCAUGCAGCUGCCAUAGAUGUGCCUGGUCCAGAGGUGACAUGCUUAGCUGCUAUGGCUGGGAAAUAUAAGGUCUUUCUGGUAAUGGGGGUGAUUGAGCGAGAAGGUCACACACUGUAUUGUUCAGUGCUCUUCUUUGAUCCUCUAGGUCGGUACCUGGGUAAGCACCGCAAGCUGAUGCCGACGGCAUUAGAAAGGAUAAUAUGGGGAUUUGGAGAUGGAUCAACAAUUCCUGUUUAUGAUACUCCACUUGGAAAGAUCGGAGCCCUUAUUUGCUGGGAAAAUAAGAUGCCACUUUUAAGGACAGCACUGUAUGGUAAAGGUAUUGAGAUAUACUGCGCUCCCACGGCUGAUUCAAGGCCAGUGUGGCAAGCUUCCAUGACACAUAUCGCCCUGGAGGGGGGAUGCUUUGUGUUGUCGGCAAACCAGUUCUGCCGCAGAAAGGACUACCCUCCGCCGUCCGAGUACGCAUUUGCCGGUUUACGAGAAGAGCCUUCUCCCGACACCGUUGUCUGCCCUGGAGGCAGCGUUAUCAUUUCGCCGUCACGAGAAGUCCUGGCAGGUCCCAACUACGAUGGAGAGGCGCUCAUCACAGCCGACCUUGACAUGGGAGAGAUCGUUCGGGCCAAGUUUGCUUUUGACGUGGUGGGCCACUACGCUCGGCCUGAGGUGCUGAGCUUGGUAGUGGAUGACCAACCGCACCGGCCGGUGUCAUUCACCUGUGCUGCUGAGAAGACUCCGGCUGCCAAGAGCGACGGCACCGCAAAGCCCUGA